rnacentral:rRNA from 1 species
AUUGAACGCUGGCGGCAUGCCUUACACAUGCAAGUCGAACGGCAGCACGGGUGCUUGCACCUGGUGGCGAGUGGCGAACGGGUGAGUAAUACAUCGGAACGUACCUUAUCGUGGGGGAUAACGCAGCGAAAGCUGUGCUAAUACUGCAUACGCCCUGAGGGGGAAAGCGGGGGAUCGCAAGACCUCGCGCGAUUAGAGCGGCCGAUGCCUGAUUAGCUUGUUGGUGGGGUAAAAGCCCACCAAGGCGACGAUCAGUAGCUGGUCGGAGAGGACGAUCAGCCACAGUGGGACUGAGACACGGCCCAGACUACGAGGGGAGGCAGCAGUGGGGAAUUUUGGACAAUGGGGGCAACCCUGAUCCAGCAAUGCCGCGUGAGUGAAGAAAGCCUUCGGGUUGUAAAGCUCUUUUGGCAGGGAAGAAACACCGGCUCUAACACAGUCCGGGAAUGACGGUACCUGAAGAAUAAGCACCGGCUAAUUACGUGCCAGCAGCCGCAGUAA